GAUGAACGCUGGCGGCGUGCCUAAUACAUGCAAGUCGAGCGAACAGACGAGGAGCUUGCUCCUCUGACGCUAGCGGCGGACGGGUGAGUAACACGAGGAUAACCUACCUAUAAGACUGGGAUAACUUCGGGAAACCGGAGCUAACAUCGGACAAUAUAUUGAACCGCAUGGUUCAAUAGUGAAAGACGGUUUUGCUGUCCCUUAUAGAUGGAUCCGCGCCGCAUUAGCUAGUUGGUAAGGUAACGGCUUACCAAGGCGACGAUGCGUAGCCGACCUGAGAGGGUGAUCGGCCACACUGGAACUGAGACACGGUCCAGACUCCUACGGGAGGCAGCAGUAGGGAAUCUUCCGCAAUGGGCGAAAGCCUGACGGAGCAACGCCGCGUGAGUGAUGAAGGUCUUCGGAUCGUAAAACUCUGUUAUUAGGGAAGAACAAAUGUGUAAGUAACUAUGCACGUCUUGACGGUACCUAAUCAGAAAGCCACGGCUAACUACGUG
rnacentral:rRNA from 1 species